UGGCUAACUCCUACGGGAGGCAGCAGUGGGGAAUUUUGGACAAUGGGGGCAACCCUGAUCCAGCAAUGCCGCGUGAGUGCAGAAGGCCUUCGGGUUGUAAAGCUCUUUUGUCAGGGAAGAAACGGUAGUAGCUAAUAUCUAUUACUAAUGACGGUACCUGAAGAGUAAGCACCGGCUAACUACGUGCCAGCAGCCGCGGUAAUACGGAGGGUGCAAGCGUUAAUCGGAAUUACUGGGCGUAAAGCGGGCGCAGGCGGUUGUGUAAGUCAGAUGUGAAAUCCCCGGGCUCAACCUGGGAAUUGCAUUGGAGACUGCACGGCUAGAGUGUGUCAGAGGGGGGUAGGAUUCCACGUGUAGCAGUGAAAUGCGUAGAUAUGUGGAGGAAUACAGAUGGCGAAGGCAGCCCCCUGGGAUAACACUGACGCUCAUGCACGAAAGCGUGGGGAGCAAACAGGAUUAGAUACCCCGGUAGUCGAGCUGG
rnacentral:rRNA from 1 species